UUUUAUUGGGAUAGGUAAGCGGUGUAGAUUAUAUUUACAUACAUAUAUCAACCAUUAGUUGAGGUCGGCGCUGUUCUUAUAAAUCGAAAAUCGACUUGUGAAUCACAAGAAAAAUGGAGACCGAUCGGAAUGCAGUUUUGGAAAGUCUGAACUCGGCUGACAUACCAUAAACUCGCUCCAGUCACCAAACAAUCUUGGCAAAAUAUAUGAGGAUAUCGAGUCCGAUGUGCAAUUCAUUAUUAAGACACGCAUACGUGAGCGUCCAAUAAAGGCCCCCGAAUGUGUUCGCUGCCACCAGUACUUCCAUGGACGCCUUGCCGCAAUAUGCGAAAAGCAACCAGCGCUUUAACCCAUAUAACAAAAUCGUCCGACACCCACGAGCACACAGGCCAGGGCUUCUCCUCUUCGGAGCGACAUUUAUGAAGUGCUCAAGUGUCGUCGUUGGCCGCUCACAUUAGCUGGGGCAAAAAGGAAAUGCAACACGGGCAUGACUGCUAUAAACCCUUAUGGCCUAGUCACACCAGCUUGACACUGCAGCACCGCACGAGAAGCAUCAGCACACCCCAGCGGAGUGACUUAACGCUAAAGAGGAAUUUUAAACGCCUUCAGCACCUUUUGACGGAACGACUACUGCAGGAUGAGAACAGCAGAAGCUUUGUCAGCGCACUGACACUGGGUUGUGGCCACUUCCAGCUGAGUCAUAUCGGUGAGUAUUCAAUGCUCAGCUCUCAGCGGCAGCCCCCCCCCCAUUCAAAUCAGCGAACAAAUUCAUGUCACCGAUAACAAUUCAAUCACUUAAGAGUUCAACACAUUUUGGAAUCGCUUUACAAUGCCCCAAGAGCACCCCAUGGGUCCAACUUGCAAGUUGUACCCGCCGGACACAUUGCGGUGUCGUCCUAGCUCCUUCUGGGCACAACUCUUGCUGUUUCCUCAACAACUUGCAAAUCCAUUCAAUGGAUUCACUUCUGCUUCUGCUUCAACUUUUACUACUUCUUAGAGAUCCGCAUUCUGGUGCUUCAACAGGCGGCUCUUGGCUCCUGAUAAAUCAAUGCUGCAGUGGAUAGGACGAAGCCUCUGGCCUGGCUCUCUGCUGCUCUCGACUUCGUUUUGUCUUCGACUUGAAUGGGGUCGCAAU